rnacentral:rRNA from 1 species
AUUGAACGCUGGCGGCAGGCUUAACACAUGCAAGUCGAGCGGAGAGAGGUAGCUUGCUACUGAUCUUAGCGGCGGACGGGUGAGUAAUGCUUAGGAAUCUGCCUAUUAGUGGGGGACAACAUUUCGAAAGGAAUGCUAAUACCGCAUACGUCCUACGGGAGAAAGCAGGGGAUCUUCGGACCUUGCGCUAAUAGAUGAGCGUAAGUCGGAUUAGCUAGUUGGUGGGGUAAAGGCCUACCAAGGCGACGAUCUGUAGCGGGUCAGAGAGGAGGAGCAGCCACACUGGGCCUGAGACACGGUCCAGACUCAUACGGGAGGCAGCAGUGGGGAAUAUUGGACAAUGGGCGCAAGCCUGAUCCUGCCAGACCGCGUGUGUGAAGGAGGCCUUAUGGUUGUAAAGCACUUUAAGCGAGGAGGAGGCUACUUUAGUUAAUACCUAGAGAUAGUGGACGUUACUCGCAGAAUAAGCACCGGCUAACUCUGUGCCAGCAGCCGCCGUAA